AAUUAUAGACUUCACCCUUUUUUUUAUUAAUUAUGUAACAAACAACGUUUUAAGAUUACAACCUAAAAUUGUCCUCUAUUCCAGCAAAUAUUAUCAGCUAAGCAAGAAAUAUUAAUUAUUGGAUAUUAAUUAAGCACAGUACCACUGUAUAUUUUAAGUAUAAUACCAUUUGAUUGAUUUCAAAAAUUAAUUGUCCAAAUUUUAACAUACCAGACAAUAAGGAAGUUUGGUGUUCCAAAAUUAGAUUUCGCAACCUGUCAACCACAUCGUACUGUACUAAUCUAUUGCCCUCAUAUUGUCAAUUCUCUCAUUGUAGAUCCCAGGAGCCAGUACUACCCACAAUCCAACCAAUAGAGUGUAGGUAAAUCGGGUUCAAACUGAACUAUCAAGCGAUGGUACUGAAAUCUUCAUUUUAUAAUGUGAAAUUGUUGUAAAUAGACAUUUCUCACUUCCCGUAAUUUUUAACAUUAAGUCUACAUUGUUUUCAACAGAACGGUCGAUGUAUGAAAACAAUACAGCAUACUAACGUUGAUGUGCGAAAGAAAUCAGUGUACGACACGAUCUGCAGAUUGUUACUAAAUUAGCAACCAGAAUACAGUUCCACAGUUAGCACGCUGGGGGCAUUAUUCAAUCCGUAGA
rnacentral:lncRNA from 1 species